AUCUUCUGGGUUGAACGUGGUUAUUUUUUUCUUUUUCUCCCUCCCUCCCUCUCUCUCUCUCCCUCCACCCCCCGCUUUCCUCCUCUUUUCUUUCCCUCACUCUCCUCUCUCUUUCUACAUCUCUUCUCUUUUUGAGUGAAACCAACUAUGUCGGGCUGACGCGGAGCAAAGAACAGGCGACAGAGUGUGUGUGUGCGUGUGUGUGUGUUUUUCUCCAUUUCUUCAUGUGUGUGUGUGUGAGAAACUUGGAGUCCGUCCACGCCAGCGGCAAUCAUCUCCUCUCCCACUUGUGUGCGCGCACCGGAGGACUCCACUUGGUGAGUUCACUUCCUUCCCUUCAGUGUUUAGAGUCGUUUCCUUUCCUCCUCUCCUCGUUUCCUCCGAACAACAAAGAGGAGCCCCGAGGUUCAGAGGCGGGCGACGCCGCUCGGCCGGACGCUUUUCCCGGGGAGGGAAGAAGUGGAUCCCGUCCUGGGUGAAUUAUUGUCACGCGUAAUUUACUGCCACGGUGCGUGCAUGUAAACGAACAGUCCGGCUCUCUCUCUCUCUCUCUCUCACCCCCCCCCCCCCCUCUCUCUCUCUCACACACACACUCACUUGAACUAGCUCCAGCUCUCCAUUCAGCCAGCGGCUCUGGAGUGGCACCUCUCCCCUGCUUCCCCUCCCCGACGCGGGCCGCACAUUCACCGUGAAACCGGAUUACAGUCGGUGUGUGACCUAUAGGGGACCUCGUGCUUCAUGAAUGAAUCCAUUUAAAUAAGAGCAACAACACAAAAAACAACAUUUACGUGCAUGCAUAAUUAUUUCUGGAAUUUUUUUUUUUUUACGAUUGUUAUUUCCAGAUUAAAAGUGUAAAAUGUGUUUUUCAAUUAAUUUAAGAGAAGAAUUGUUUACGAUGUUUUAAGGUGAAUUGAUAUUUAUGAGAUUAAUCGACUAAAAAAUAUUAGUAAUUAUUUAAAUGGUGAAUUGUGGAUAUUUUGUGCUCCUCAAUGUUUUUGUAUUUUUCUUUUUCUCCCAAAAAAUAAAAACCUGAAAGCUUUUCGCAGAA